rnacentral:lncRNA from 1 species
AUUGAAAUUUCCACCACUACCACCACCGGGCAAUCACCUCGUUAUGCCGCCGCCUCCAAUCAAAGAGAAGAACAUGUCUUCCCCUAAUUUCUUCUUAUUCCCCAUUGAAAUCGUCACCACCACCACCACCUCCGGCAGUCACCUCUUCACGCUGCCACCUCCGUCGAUCCCACCUCUUUCCUUCACAACAUGUCUCCUCCACUCUUCUUGCCGAAGACACCCGUCCACCGCCAACUUCACCUCGCUGCCGCCUCCCAUUCCACCUCCCACUUUCACCAGAAUUUUCUCCUCUCCGCUGUCGACUACGGCGGCGAGGAGCUGCAGAAAUUGAGCGGCUGGUGGCUUUGUCGGAACUCGGAAGUGAGUUUGCAGUUGAUGGAGUCGAGGUAAAAUUGAUUAAGAGAAGAGGUCUUUGGCGCCCCCAUAAACCCGAUUAUGCCGUGAGAGAGUGGUGUAUAUUGCAGCACAAAGUGGUGGCGGUUUGGUGUUCCCUGCCGUGGACGAUGGUGGGAAACGG